UUGUCGGAAGGGUUGAAGGGGGGCAGUGGGAGGGACCUCCAUGCUCGGCUGCUUUCCUGUGGCUAUGCUCUUCCGCCGGGCGCGAUGAUCUAAGAGACGGAGAUAGAGAAGAGUUCGACAGGAACGCUGACUGUCCGCCGCAGUAGCUUGUUCCUGUGAGACUCUGAGCGCCUCUCGCGCAUCAGCAAAGGGUGUACCUGUACAGAGAGAGCACAAGAUGUGUGUCCAUCAAAGAGAGGGAACAAGAAAAUGUAAUGCAGACACUGCUCCACUUCAAGAUACUAAAAUUCUCCACUGUCACGCUACAGCUGUAUCACAUCGGACACAUGAACAUACACGCGCAUAAAUGCGCAUCUCCACUGCAAAAAUCUAGUUAGACCAGCCAAGCAGAAGAUGCUUCACAUCACAGCAUCAGGAUCCUGUUGUUUGUCAAGCAUCCAAGCCCGUUUCCCAGUGUUUCCCGGUGUGUUGAGUUUCUGCUUGUUUAUUGGACUUCUUUUGGAUUUCUGGAAUUUGGAUUUUUGCCUGUGUCUACUGGUUUUGUUUGCCCAGUGUUUGGACUGUCCUCCUGUGUUUUGAUUCUUGCCUGCCUCUACAACAGGUAAGCAUGUUCACUUUUUGUGUUAUUAUGAAUAAACACCAUAAACUGAA